GACGAACGCUGGCGGCGUGCCUAACACAUGCAAGUCGAGCGAGUGAAUCUCCUUCGGGAGUGAAGCUAGCGGCGGACGGGUGAGUAACACGUGGGCAACCUGCCUCAUAGAGGGGAAUAGCCUUCCGAAAGGAAGAUUAAUACCGCAUAAGAUUGUAGCUUCGCAUGAAGUAGCAAUUAAAGGAGCAAUCCGCUAUGAGAUGGGCCCGCGGCGCAUUAGCUAGUUGGUGAGGUAACGGCUCACCAAGGCGACGAUCAGUAGCCGGCCUGAGAGGGCGACCGGGCCACAUUGGGACUGAGACACGGCCCAAAUCCUACGGGAGGCAGCAGUGGGGAAUAUUGCACAAUGGGCGAAAGCCUGAUGCAGCGACGCCGCGUGAGCGAUGAAGUAUUCGGGUAUGUAAAGCUCUAUCAGCAGGGAG
rnacentral:rRNA from 1 species